rnacentral:rRNA from 1 species
GACAGAGGCCUCAAGCGUUAGGCGGAAUCACUGGGCUUAAAGCGUGUGUAGGCGGAUCGUUAAGUGCCUUGUGAAAUCCCACGGCUCAACCGUGGAAGUGCCCUUGAUACUGGUGGCCUCGAGGGAGGCAGGGGCGUGCGGAACUUUGGGUGGAGCGGUGAAAUGCGUAGAUAUCCAAAGGAACACCGGUGGCGAAAGCGGCGCGCUGGACCUCUUCUGACGCUGAGGCGCGAAAGCCAGGGGAGCAAACGGG